AUANUGCAGUCGAACGAACUUCCGUUAAUUGAUUAUGACGUACUUGUACUGAUUGAGAUUUUAACACGAAGUGAGUGGCGAACGGGUGAGUAACACGUGGGUAACCUGCCCAGAAGUAGGGGAUAACACCUGGAAACAGAUGCUAAUACCGUAUAACAGAGAAAACCGCAUGGUUUUCUUUUAAAAGAUGGCUCUGCUAUCACUUCUGGAUGGACCCGCGGCGUAUUAGCUAGUUGGUGAGGUAAAGGCUCACCAAGGCAGUGAUACGUAGCCGACCUGAGAGGGUAAUCGGCCACAUUGGGACUGAGACACGGCCCAGACUCCUACGGGAGGCAGCAGUAGGGAAUCUUCCACAAUGGACGCAAGUCUGAUGGAGCAACGCCGCGUGAGUGAAGAAGGGUUUCGGCUCGUAAAGCUCUGUUGUUAAAGAAGAACGUGGGUAAGAGUAACUGUUUACCCAGUGACGGUAUUUAACCAGAAAGCCACGGCUAACUACGUGCCAGCAGCCGCGGUAAUACGUAGGUGGCAAGCGUUAUCCGGAUUUAUUGGGCGUAAAGCGAGCGCAGGCGGUCUUUUAAGUCUAAUGUGAAAGCCUUCGGCUCAACCGAAGAAGUGCAUUGGAAACUGGGAGACUUGAGUGCAGAAGAGGACAGUGGAACUCCAUGUGUAGCGGUGAAAUGCGUAGAUAUAUGGAAGAACACCAGUGGCGAAGGCGGCUGUCUGGUCUGCAACUGACGCUGAGGCUCGAAAGCAUGGGUAGCGAACAGGAUUAGAUACCCUGGUAGUCCAUGCCGUAAACGAUGAUUACUAAGUGUUGGAGGGUUUCCGCCCUUCAGUGCUGCAGCUAACGCAUUAAGUAAUCCGCCUGGGGAGUACGACCGCAAGGUUGAAACUCAAAAGAAUUGACGGGGGCCCGCACAAGCGGUGGAGCAUGUGGUUUAAUUCGAAGCUACGCGAAGAACCUUACCAGGUCUUGACAUCUUCUGACAGUCUAAGAGAUUAGAGGUUCCCUUCGGGGACAGAAUGACAGGUGGUGCAUGGUUGUCGUCAGCUCGUGUCGUGAGAUGUUGGGUUAAGUCCCGCAACGAGCGCAACCCUUAUUACUAGUUGCCAGCAUUAAGUUGGGCACUCUAGUGGAACUGCCGGUGACAAACCGGAGAAAGU
rnacentral:rRNA from 1 species